ACAUAUGUGUGUUUGCUAAAAUUGGAACAAUACAGAGAAAAUUAGUAUGCCCCUGCACAAGGAUAAAAUACAGACUCGUGAAGCAUUUCAUUAAAAA
rnacentral:snRNA from 1 species